UUUUGAGGCAUUUGCAUAUUCUCCCAGUUUAGCAUCAUCUAACAUCUAAACAUUUCACCAGGUGUGUUCUAUUUUCCUUUUCUGUUAUUAGUGUUCAAUGUUUAUGGAUCUUUGAGAGGCACAGGCCAGGAAAAUCCCAGGGAGAGACAUAAUGCAUGUGCUCAGCUGGACUUGUUGAAAAUGAUUCCACGUUAGCAGGAUAAUCUUAAAAAGAGUUACCACUUCCUUGUGUGAUCUCUCUCCCUUAACCCUGUUGUCAAGGAAACAUAUCAAGACUUACUUAUCCCUUUUAUGAUUUUUGGCCAAUUCUCAGUACAUAUGUAAUAAAUGUCAAAGUCUCCAACUUUAAGGGGCAGCUUCCUCAAUAUAUUUGGAAAAGAAGUGAUUUAUCAUGUAUUUGUCAGGGAGUUAACUACUUGGCAGCUAAUUCUUUGAAUUGCAGGUUUUCUGCAGUGAACCCCACUCUUUGCUGCUGGUUACUGCCUAGGUUUCUUGGGCUACAUUCUGCUCAGUGCAGUGCCGCCACCAUGGUCUAGUUCUGUGAGGGCAGGGCUGAGUUCCUGUCUUCUAAUCAUCAAAUUCUAGGCACUCAGCACGAUGUCUGUCCAUAGAAGUUUGUAAGAGAUAUGUUUUGGGUGGAUGAGUUUGUUAAUUGUCUGCUAUAUGUAAAGCAAAAUGACACUAAGCACUGGGAAUCCAAUGGUGAUUCAGAAGUCCCUGCUUCUUAUAGGCUAUAGUUUCACAAAGAAGAUAAAGUAUUAAAUAGGCAAUUAGAAUAAUAUAUGAUAAGUGAUGUGCCAGGUUGGUGAGGCUGAUGGGAAAUAGGGUAAGGGAAGACACUGAUGAGGGUUGAAAUAAGGAUCUAAGGAUUGUAGCUGGGUAGGGAAACACCUGAAGAUAGAGUGUGGUGAUAGGGAAUAGAGGGAUCAACUAUCUGGAGGAAGCCCUGAGUGAAAGAAUUGGGAAAAUUGAAAUUGUGCUCAGAGAGUGGGGUGUUUGGCUCAUUUUUUCAAAGGUACAGAAGUUCCAGGUAAAAUUGCAGUUCAUGAUGUGCUAUGUCAAAGAAUGGUCUGGUGGAGAAAAUCACUAUCUGGGAACGGGUCAAAGAAGUGAGAGGUCAGAGGCUGGGAGGACUCAUCCACAUGCUGAUAUUAUUUACAAUAAUCAGAGUCUCCACAGAUCUCAAACUCUUCUUCCUCUAGAACACAGAUCAUCUCUUUUGAGUUAGGCUGCUGUUCUGGGUGCACCCCAUGCAGCUUUGUCAUGACUCAGCAUUUAUCACACUGCUUGGUCAUCGCCUUUUACAUGUCAUGGAAAUCAGGAACCACACUGUCUCUCUGGCUCUAGCAGAGAGUAAGGUACACAGAAGGGCUUGAUAAAUAUUUUUCAAUGAAAACAUGAAUGAAGAAUUCAGUUAUUAUAAGUAGGCUUGGUUUCAGCUUUACAUUGAUGAAGGGACUCAAUAUCACUAGAAUCUUUUUUUUUCCCUCCCCUCUAUUUCUGGACUCUGCUUCUUUUGUUUUGUCCCUAUUCUUAGACAUUUCUCUCUUUGUGCUAGAGAAAUGGAACCAGACCUCAUACUGCUCAGUCCAUUGUCUCCACAGUUGGGUACAUGUAGUCCACAGCAUGCAAAAUGUUAUCCAAAGCAUAUGGCCUGAGAACAGGGAAAGCAUGGUUACUUGGAGGGAAAUCAAGGCACUACACACACACACACACACACACACACACACACACACUUGUGUAUCUCAAGAAGAGUAACUGGAUUCAAGCAGCAGAAACAAUAGAUAGACAACAGUAACAACAAUAUUUUUUCUUGUGACACCAACAAUAACUUCAAAAAGCACAGAAGUCAAAUCUUGUUUGCUCUUCAGGGCACAGAGUCCUCACCUAGAUGUUUCUGAGUGAAUGUCAUUUGCCUUUGUUCAUGAUGAGGUGCUCACUUUAACUUCUUGGAAUCCCAGGACCACUGAACCACAGAGUUUGGAGGUUGCUGGCUGUGGGUCACGAUCCUCACAUUCCAGAAACCUUUUUGAGCCAUGUGGACAGUAGCACUGUGGUUGCCAUAGAAAGACUCCUUUUGGGGAAUCUCCUUGAGAUACACUGAUGGAAACUUGACAGUGACUUCCAAUUGUAGUUAGAGCCACAAGACUUCCAGUAAAUAGCCUCACUGCUGAAAACAACUGUCUUGAAGAAGAGAGGAUAAAGGCACAGGGAGUUGGAGAGGAGUGUGUGUGCAAGAGUUAAAUGAGAACCACUGAAAGCUAUAGGUGUAACUGAAAGUCCACAAUAGCUUUCAAGAUGACAGGAAAAAGAGGCUUCCAUGGUCAGUGUUACGUCUUAGAAGCCAGAGGCUAAGUCUGCCAGUGGCAUUUAGCCAUGCAUAGUGAUCUAAUAAUCAGAAUCUUUUACAAAAUAUAAAAAGCCUCAGGAGAAGGAAAAGUAACAAAAUCCAUUUUGGAAGAACUUAAGCAAAUCUUUGGAAGGGAAAAAAACCAAAGUGAUAGACAAGUUAUUGUAUGGAACAGACAUGAGAACAUUAUCUUAAUCUCCUGGCCAGUAUUCUCCCAGGCUUUGGUCCAUUUUAAUUCCCUUCCAAUUUACAAAUUACUUUAACAUUUAUAAGGGACACAGAUGUGUCUUAAAUUGAUAAGUAGAGUGUCAAGCAUCACUUCCAAUAACAGGAAAAGAAUCCACAGUCUUUAAUUUUUACGUCUAAUUGACUUCAGUUGAGGUGUAGUCAAAUGUAUAUUAUUUCUUAAUUUGACACCUUCUAUUUAAGAGGUCUUAUUUUAUGUGUAUCAGAGUCACAGGUGUGAAAUUAGUCACUGGGAAGGCUAACUGUUCCAGAUUCUUUUGACCUUAUGGCUGGAAGGAAUUUAAUUGUAACCUCAUAAAAAGAAAGGAAUUCUGGUCACUAGGGAAGAUGAUUACAUGGUCAUUGACAAUGUGAACUUGAAUGGCUACAUUAGCUCUUUAAUUAUAAUGAAUCAAGAAGAAACGUUCAAGGUUGGAAAGGAGGCUCCUGAUAGGGGAUAAUGACAGGUACUUAUGCAAAUGGUAUCAACACUGACAGAAUGAAGAGGCUGGAGCCAGAAGGGAGAUGUGCAACACCUACCGAAGAUUCAGCAUCUGUCAUUAAAACUACUGCAUAAAGUGACACGGUUCCAUUCACUAAAUCUCAAGGUGGAGAUUUUCUUUGUUAGAUCCUAAGGGGAAGACGCCUACUUUACUACCUAACAGGAGGAAGAUUUUCUCCUCCCCCAGCAACAGCCCAGCCAAUGAGGACUGUCACAAAUCAGCCAAUGAAAAGACACUACAUUUCCAAUUCCCAGUUUACUCCAAUGGACUUUUUGCUUAUAAAAGCCCUUCCCAGCUCCCCCCUUUCCUUUAUAAAAGAGCCUCUCCCUUAUUCUUUAUGCUUGCCUAUGGUUCACCAUAGCUUACUUGUCCUGAACUGCAAUUCCUCUGCUAUUCAGAAAUAAACCUAUUUUGCUAUUAAAAUAACUGGCUGUUUUUAUUAUCCAGGCUGAUACGAUUUACACAGCUUUUACAACACUGAAAAUAGAUGUAUUUCUUGGAAUUCUUUAAAGAAAGUCUGUUGAGAACACUUAUGAGAUAAUCAUUUUUAGUCAGAGAUUACUUAAUUAAGGUAAGGAUAUAUAAACAGCUUGCACCACCCACAGGCAAAGUACUGAUGUUUGUCUGGGUAAUGAAACUGGUUUCUGCUUAUAGAAAACUAGGCAGCCCUCCUUGGAGCUUUUUCUUCUGAACAAGCACAACAAUGACAAAAAUCCAUACAGAAAAUAUGUUUUUUUAGGACAUAGAGUCAUCAUCUUAGGGAGAAAACAGUUAUUCCUUAGUCCUAAUAUUUGGUCCUUGGGGAUAGAACUUCUAUUACAAUAAUCUUCCCCUUUCCUUUUUACUUGUCUUCAGGAAAAGAGACUUUAUUUGGUAUGCCAACUUGAGAGAAGAGCUGAACCUCACCCUCUUUUUUAGAGCCACUCUGCUCACAAGAAGCCUGCAUUAUUUUUCCUCUGCCAGCCUCCACUAACUGUAGAGAAGAGGAGAGAAGAGAAGAGAAGAGAAGAGAAGAGAAGAGAAGAGAAGAGAAGAGAAGAGAAGAGAAGAGAAGAGAAGAGAAGAGAAGAGAACUACUGGAGCUGUAAAGAAGACUCCAAGAUGCUGCUGCCCUUCAGAGCUCUGUGACCCAGACCCUCCCCAUGGACAGCUGCACAACAUCACCCAGACACUUGAUCCUCUUGCUGGGUGGUGGUCUCUGCAUUAUCUCACGCGGUGAGAGACCUGCCCCACAUAUGAACGUGUCAAAGUGUCAGCCAAAUAAAGCUUGUUGUAUGUUA